rnacentral:rRNA from 1 species
GACGAACGCUGGCGGCGUGCUUAACACAUGCAAGUCGAACGAAGUGGCGCACGGGUGAGUCACGCGUAAUCACCCUGCCCUUCAGAGGGGGACAACAGUUGGAAACGACUGCUAAUCCCGCAUACUGAAGGAGGGGAUUGCGUCGGAUUAGCUAGUUGGAGGGGUAACGGCCCACCAAGGCGAUGAUCAGUAGCCGGGCUGAGAGGAGGAACGGCCACACUGGGACUGAGACACGGCCCAGACUCCUACGGGAGGCAGCAGUGGGGAAUCUUCCGCAAUGGACGAAAGUCUGACGGAGCAACGCCGCGUGAGUGAUGAAGGCCUUCGGGUUGUAAAGCUCUGUUAAUCGGGACGCGGUACCUGAAUAGAAAGCCACGGCUAACUACGUGCCAGCAGCCGCGGUAAUAC